rnacentral:rRNA from 1 species
GUUCCUUGGAAAAGGACAGCUGAGAGGGUGAGACUCCCGUCCGCCUGGUAGAAUGAGUCUUUGUCAACGAGUCGAGUUGUUUGGGAUUGCAGCUCUAAUUUGGUGGUAAAUUCCAUCUAAAGCUAAAUAUUGGUGGGAGACCGAUAGCGUACAAGUACCGUGAGGGAAAGAUGCAAAGAACUUUGAAAAGAGAGUUAAAGAGUACCUGAAAUUGCUGAAACGGAAGCGAAGGAAACCAGUGUUUGUUGGUUCAUAUUUCCCUGGCCACUUGUGGUUUGGGCGCUGUGAGCUUGCGUGGGUUUGGGUUGGUUGAUCCCUUUGGAAGAGCGCAGUCAGAGUUGAUGUCU